rnacentral:lncRNA from 1 species
UGUGUGGCCAACUGCCUGGGUUUGAUUCCCACCUUCACCACUUGGGAGCUGGUUGACCUUCAGGAAUCCACCUUUGCCUCAGUGUUCUCUCCUGUAAAGUGGGGAUAGCACUUGGUGUUACUAAUUUUGUGGAAGAACACAUAUGCUCUGCACUGCCAGCAUCCGAGUUGGUGGGGGUGGGGGUGGUGCUGCUGCUGGUGG